GACGAGAAGCUUGCUUCUCUGAUGUUAGCGGCGGACGGGUGAGUAACACGUGGAUAACCUACCUAUAAGACUGGGAUAACUUCGGGAAACCGGAGCUAAUACCGGAUAAUAUUUUGAACCGCAUGGUUCAAAAGUGAAAGACGGUCUUGCUGUCACUUAUAGAUGGAUCCGCGCUGCAUUAGCUAGUUGGUAAGGUAACGGCUUACCAAGGCAACGAUGCAUAGCCGACCUGAGAGGGUGAUCGGCCACACUGGAACUGAGACACGGUCCAGACUCCUACGGGAGGCAGCAGUAGGGAAUCUUCCGCAAUGGGCGAAAGCCUGACGGAGCAACGCCGCGUGAGUGAUGAAGGUCUUCGGAUCGUAAAACUCUGUUAUUAGGGAAGAACAUAUGUGUAAGUAACUGUGCACAUCUUGACGGUACCUAAUCAGAAAGCCACGGCUAACUACGUGCCAGCAGCCGCGGUAAUACGUAGGUGGCAAGCGUUAUCCGGAAUUAUUGGGCGUAAAGCGCGCGUAGGCGGUUUUUUAAGUCUGAUGUGAAAGCCCACGGCUCAACCGUGGAGGGUCAUUGGAAACUGGAAAACUUGAGUGCAGAAGAGGAAAGUGGAAUUCCAUGUGUAGCGGUGAAAUGCGCAGAGAUAUGGAGGAACACCAGUGGCGAAGGCGACUUUCUGGUCUGUAACUGACGCUGAUGUGCGAAAGCGUGGGGAUCAAACAGGAUUAGAUACCCUGGUAGUCCACGCCGUAAACGAUGAGUGCUAAGUGUUAGGGGGUUUCCGCCCCUUAGUGCUGCAGCUAACGCAUUAAGCACUCCGCCUGGGGAGUACGACCGCAAGGUUGAAACUCAAAGGAAUUGACGGGGACCCGCACAAGCGGUGGAGCAUGUGGUUUAAUUCGAAGCAACGCGAAGAACCUUACCAAAUCUUGACAUCCUUUGACAACUCUAGAGAUAGAGCUUUCCCCUUCGGGGGACAAAGUGACAGGUGGUGCAUGGUUGUCGUCAGCUCGUGUCGUGAGAUGUUGGGUUAAGUCCCGCAACGAGCGCAACCCUUAAGCUUAGUUGCCAUCAUUAAGUUGGGCACUCUAAGUUGACUGCCGGUGACAAACCGGAGGAAGGUGGGGAUGACGUCAAAUCAUCAUGCCCCUUAUGAUUUGGGCUACACACGUGCUACAAUGGACAAUACAAAGGGCAGCGAAACCGCGAGGUCAAGCAAAUCCCAUAAAGUUGUUCUCAGUUCGGAUUGUAGUCUGCAACUCGACUACAUGAAGCUGGAAUCGCUAGUAAUCGUAGAUCAGCAUGCUACGGUGAAUACGUUCCCGGGUCUUGUACACACCGCCCGUCACACCACGAGAGUUUGUA
rnacentral:rRNA from 1 species